rnacentral:rRNA from 1 species
CCUAGUACGGCGAGUGAGCGGGAAGAGCUCAAAUUUGAAAUCUGGUGGCCUCAGGUCAUCCGAGUUGUAAUCUAUAGAAGUGUUUUCCGUGCUGGCUCAUGUACAAGUCCCUUGGAACAGGGCGUCAUAGAGGGUGAGAAUCCCGUCCUUGACAUGAACUACCAGUGCUCUGUGAUACAUUUUCAACGAGUCGAGUUGUUUGGGAAUGCAGCUCAAAAUGGGUGGUAAAUUCCAUCUAAAGCUAAAUAUUGGCGAGAGACCGAUAGCGAACAAGUACCGUGAGGGAAAGAUGAAAAGCACUUUGGAAAGAGAGUUAAACAGUAUGUGAAAUUGUUGAAAGGGAAACGAUUGAAGUCAGUCGUGCUCUUUGGAUUCAGCCGGUUCUGCCGGUGUACUUCCUUUGAGUGGGGUCAACAUCAGUUUUGAUCGCUGGAUAAAGGCUGGAGGAACGUAGUACCCUCGGGUAAACUUAUAGCCUCCUGUCACAUACAGUGGUUGGGACUGAGGAACGCAGCACGCCUUUAUGGCCGGGAUUCGUCCACGUACGUGCUUAGGAUGUUGACAUAAUGGCUUUAAACGACCCGUCUUGAAACACGGACCA